AUUCUAUGAUUCUAUGAACUCCACUUUCCUGUUGUUCCAUUUAUAAAAUAUGUUUUUAAAAAGUAUUUUUUCAAGAAACGUUAUAGCUUUGCAAAGUUUAGGGAGAUUUAAAAAAAAAUAUUUACUUCGAGAGACAGUGGAGGAGAAGUCAGCUAAUGUCACCUCCUGAUAUUACUUCUGUGCUAUCAUGUUGAUCCAGGGUACUUCCAGAAGGCAUCAAAAUCUAAAUUUUAUUUUAGGGGGAGGGUUGGUAAAAAUCCUGGGACCUGACUACAAAUCCACACAUAGACUUGUUAGUCCUGGGAUUGAGUCUCCUGCCUUUCUCAUAGUCUUCCUCUGUAUCAGAAUAAGAUGGAGAGCAGAUGAGGGUGGAAGAAUUUUUUAAAAAAUCACUCUGUUAUUCACUGGAGUACAUAUAAGAAGAUUCGCAUGUGCCCGUAAGAGGUAUAUACGUAUAACGGAGUGAAUUUUUUUUUUUAAAAAACUACCACAGAAUUUCUCUCUACCCCCAAUCAUUAAUUGAAACUCUGUUUAAUAUUAUAAAGUUUAAAAUAGUUUAAGAGAGUUCUAAUUGUUCUCUGUUUGUGCUUUCUUUAAACCAGCUGUGUGUUUCUUUUUCACACCGGUUGCUAAAGGGAGGAGACUGCUUGGCCAUUGCUAGCACUAUUGCUAAGAGAAAGAACCAUCUGCUACAGCGGUUGCUAUGGGAAGCGGGAACUGCUUGUCAGUUGCGAAGGGGUAUGGUUUUACCUCUCUCAGGUGUAAUAGGUUUGUGAUAGUAGAGAUUUACUGCCAGUCUUUGUGAAAGGAGUUAAAAGUCCUUGAAGCACAACCACGUUUCUGACUGGAUGUUACUUUAAUAUAGCUUCAAUUGGAUCUCCAUCUGUUAUAUCUUCAACAUGGCUUUACUUUGUGUCUACUUUUAUAUAGCUUUGAUGUAACUUCGAUGACAUGUGUGACUUCAAUGUGACUUGUGUAACUUUGACGUGAUGUUCUAUUUUGUGGUUCUUCCACUUUUCUUAUUCUUCACCUUCCAAUACCACACCACCUGACUCCUCAAGGAGCUAGAAGGGACUUGGCUAAGGCUCUGUCCCUGAGACGAGUCUUAAAGCGCUCAAGACUUGGCUGUUUGGUUGUGCAUUUCAGUAAAUCAGAUCUAAUUUGCCAAAUAGUCACUGUUGAAUGUUUUUAUGUUGAAUGUUUUUAUAUUGUGAAUGAUAUUUUAAAUUGUAAGUCGCUCGGAGCACUCUGGUGGAGAGCGACUAAUUAAGAAAUAAAGUGAAGUGAAGUGAAGAAAGGAA